UACAAAGGCGGAAGCGGCCGCCGCGCGGGAGAGCGGCGGCGGCUCCAGCAUCCGGAGCCAGGACAAGGAGCCGGAGGGGCGGCGGUAGCCAGCAGUGGGGCCUCCGAGAGCGCCCGGCCCCGGCCCAGGACCCCCGGGCCGUUCAGUCAUGCCGGGAAGAGACCUGACCCACCACCAAGUGAUUCAUCAACCAGAUGGGCUCAGCUUUCCCCGAGGCUAAACAAAUGGCCCCUUUUUAAAAAAAAA